rnacentral:ribozyme from 12 species
AUAGAGGCACAAACAAGAAGAAGAAGAAAAAGAAGAAAAACAGACAGAAAAAGUAGACUACUUGUGUGCUUUU